UCGGGAAUUUUGGGCAAUGGGCGAAAGCCUGACCCAGCAACGCCGCGUGAAGGAUGAAAUCCCUCGGGAUGUAAACUUCGCAAGAACGGGAAGAAUAAGCCGGUGACAACACCACCGGCGAUGACGGUACCGUUUGUAAGCUCCGGCUAACUCCGUGCCAGCAGCCGCGGUAAUACGGGGGGAGCAAGCGUUGUUCGGAUUUACUGGGCGUAAAGGGCGCGUAGGCGGCCACCGCAAGUCGACUGUGAAAUCUCCGGGCUUAACUCGGAAAGGUCAGCCGAUACUGCGGGGCUAGAGUGCAGAAGGGGCAACUGGAAUUCUCGGUGUAGCGGUGAAAUGCGUAGAUAUCGAGAGGAACACCUGCGGCGAAGGCGGGUUGCUGGGCUGACACUGACGCUGAGGCGCGAAAGCUAGGGGAGCGAACGGGAUUAGAUACCCCGGGAGUCCUAGCCUUAAACGAUGAAUGCUUGGUGUCUGGGGUUUUAUAGUCCCCGGGUGCCGUCGCUAACGCUUUAAGCAUUCCGCCUGGGGAGUACGGUCGCAAGACUGA
rnacentral:rRNA from 1 species